GAGAGCUCGGGGAGUAUGUUUGAGUUAAGCGGGGUUCUUAAUUGUGGGUAUACCGGCUAAAGAUCUGCAUCAUGCACUUCAUUCCUAAUCAGACUUUCGCAGGCUUCUCAAACCCACAUGUCCCGGUUAACUAGCAUGCAACAGUAUAUAUGAAAAUUUGAUAAGCUCUAUAAUUAUGUCCUGCAGAGUUCAGUAAUAAUUCGAUCACGUUUAAGCUCGUAAAAAAAAACAACUACAGAUGUCAAACUUCUACUAGUUUAACUCGAUAUCAAUGACAAUGGACUGAGAAAGGGAAUUGAACCGGAUUAAUUAAUUAAAGCGAAGGGAUAUACAGUUGUGUCAAUAAUUUGGCCAUCAUGGAAAUGAGAGACAAAGACAAGUAAGUAAAUAUUGAAC